rnacentral:rRNA from 1 species
GAUGAACGCUGGCGGCGUGCCUAAUACAUGCAAGUCGAGCGAACGGACGAGAAGCUUGCUUCUCUGAUGUUAGCGGCGGACGGGUGAGUAACACGUGGAUAACCUACCUAUAAGACUGGGAUAACUUCGGGAAACCGGAGCUCAUACCGGAUGAUAUUUUGAACCGCAUGGUUCAAAAGUGAAAGACGGUCUUGCUGUCACUUAUAGAUGGAUCCGCGCUGCAUUAGCUAGUUGGUAAGGUAACGGCUUACCAAGGCAACGAUGCAUAGCCGACCUGAGAGGGUGAUCAGCCACACUGGAACUGAGACACGGUCCAGACUCCUACGGGAGGCAGCAGUAGGGAAUCUUCCGCAAUGGGCGAAAGCCUGACGGAGCAACGCCGCGUGAGUGAUGAAGGUCUUCGGAUCGUAAAACUCUGUUAUUAGGGAAGAACAUAUGUGUAAGUAACUGUGCACAUCUUGACGGUACCUAAUCAGAAAGCCACGGCUAACUACGUG